rnacentral:rRNA from 1 species
CGCUCCCGCUGCCGCCAACGCUCCCGAACCGCCGCUGACCGCACGAGCGAACCCUCCUACCUCCGACGGAGCGGUCCCGAGCCCGCGCCGUCAUGCCGCAGCCGUGCAACGGCUACAGCGGCCCCGGCCCCGCCACCAAACUGCCCGCUGCUCCUCCUCCACGACAGGAUCUCGGUCGCUGCCGCCGACGUCGAACUGCUACGCCCGCACUUGACGAACGAAGUCCCCGACGCCCGGCACUCGCCGCGACACGAACGUGCGCUCUGGACACAGACUAAACCUUUCUUAGUUAGGCAACUUCCUCUUCCGGUUACGUUGACGAGAGAUCUAUCCGUGAGCUCACAGGUAGGGUUACCUUACCAUAUUUAACGACGACCAUGACUUGUAACUGUCCAUUUUGAAUCGUAUAGGUCUUUAUGUAGUAAUAUUCGAUGAAGGUAUCUACGUAGAUCUAGUAUCGUAGACUUGAACUCCUAUCGUCUGUUUUUAAGUUUGUCUUUCGUUCGAUGCGAGGUAUAACACAAGAAACAUAGGGUAUAGCUUAUUGUCCAAGCAUAAACUAACCAAAGAAGUGUCGUCGCGUACCUGCUAUUUUCUAGAGACAAAACUAUAUAAAGAUACGGUACUAAACAGAUAACGGUGACAAAGACUUAAAAAAAAGUAGGUAUUUAGUACGCUGAGUUCAGUUAAACUCUAGCUUAAACAAGUACUCCAGUUCUGCCUUGGAACGCUGUCGAGGUCCAAUUGUAUGUAGGUAUGACUUAAAAGAACCGUAUUAACAUUUCUGACAAGAUACAUAAAAACACCGUCGUUGCACUCCAAAAAUUAACCAUAACACGAACUUUGUUUCAACGUACUAUGUAUAAAGGAUGUUAGUAAAACUUUCCAAACGGUGGAAAAACAUCCAAUAUUCCAUCCAGGACUUAAGAACCGUCUAUAACAUACUUGCGGAUAAGUCUCAUAAAGCGGGAACUAACGUUUCUAUAAUAGAAUGUCUAUUGGAAACUGAAGAGCUACUUGAGACAUGACAGUCAUAAACACGUGUUACGUGUAAGACUUUGAAUGUUGAUAAUCACUAGUUACUCUUUUCUUGUGAACUAGGAGCUAAGAAUUUGAUAGUAGAAUGAGUAUUGGUACAUGAUGAGUCACUUGAGAUAUAUAGAUAGUCAUCAACCUUCGUGAUGUUUCGUCACAGUUUAAGUCAUAAUAUACAUGUACUCAAACGAAUAAAGUCCGUUCGUUGUUGUUUGUCUGAAACAACAAAAAUCAGAUUACGCUAUAAACAACCCGUAGUGCCUCCUUACGGUCGUUUCCGCACUUCUUUAUGAGCAUUAGUCACACUGUACAGCACACUCUACUUCCACCGUUUGGUAGUGAACUUCGGUUCGUACACCACCUAGGCCGUACCUACUACCUACCUGGCUACUCACAUCUUCAAACUCGACACUUUGAAACACGCUAGCUCGAGGACCACGUUAAUUCGUAUACCGAAAACACUACACAGUACAUCCGUCACUAACUGAUAUAAAGAAAGGGAGAAUUUAAACAACAUUAUUCCAAUGGGAAAUGUCUUCUUUCUAACUUGGCGGAAAACCAAAUCCAUCUUCGUGG